rnacentral:rRNA from 1 species
ACCUCGCUCAGACGAACGCUGGCGGCGUGCUUAACACAUGCAAGUCGAACGAUGAACAGGAGCUUGCUCCUGGGAUUAGUGGCGAACGGGUGAGUAACACGUGAGUAACCUGCCCUUGACUCUGGGAUAAGCGUUGGAAACGACGUCUAAUACCGGAUAUGACCCUCGCUGGCAUCGGCUGGGGGUGGAAAGAUUUUUUGGUCAAGGAUGGACUCGCGGCCUAUCAGGUAGUUGGUGAGGUAAUGGCUCACCAAGCCGACGACGGGUAGCCGGCCUGAGAGGGUGACCGGCCACACUGGGACUGAGACACGGCCCAGACUCCUACGGGAGGCAGCAGUGGGGAAUAUUGCACAAUGGGCGAAAGCCUGAUGCAGCAACGCCGCGUGAGGGAUGACGGCCUUCGGGUUGUAAACCUCUUUUAGUUGGGAAGAAGGGAGCUUGCUCUUGACGGUACCAGCAGAAAAAGCACCGGCUAACUACGUGCCAGCAGCCGCGGUAAUACGUAGGGUGCAAGCGUUGUCCGGAAUUAUUGGGCGUAAAGAGCUCGUAGGCGGUUUGUCGCGUCUGCUGUGAAAUCUGGGGGCUCAACCCCCAGCCUGCAGUGGGUACGGGCAGACUAGAGUGCGGUAGGGGAGAUUGGAAUUCCUGGUGUAGCGGUGGAAUGCGCAGAUAUCAGGAGGAACACCGAUGGCGAAGGCAGAUCUCUGGGCCGUUACUGACGCUGAGGAGCGAAAGCAUGGGGAGCGAACAGGAUUAGAUACCCUGGUAGUCCAUGCCGUAAACGUUGGGAACUAGAUGUAGGGGCCAUUCCACGGUUUCUGUGUCGCAGCUAACGCAUUAAGUCCCCGCGU